rnacentral:rRNA from 1 species
AAUCCAUAGGUUAAUGAGGCGAACCGGGGGAACUGAAACAUCUAAGUACCCCGAGGAAAAGAAAUCAACCGAGAUUCCCCCAGUAGCGGCGAGCGAACGGGGAGGAGCCCAGAGCCUGAAUCAGCAUGUGUGUUAGUGGAAGCGUCUGGAAAGGCGCGCGAUACAGGGUGACAGCCCCGUACACAAAAGCGCAUGUGCUGUGAGCUCGAUGAGUAGGGCGGGACACGUGGUAUCCUGUCUGAAUAUGGGGGGACCAUCCUCCAAGGCUAAAUACUCCUGACUGACCGAUAGUGAACCAGUACCGUGAGGGAAAGGCGAAAAGAACCCCGGCGAGGGGAGUGAAAAAGAACCUGAAACCGUGUACGUACAAGCAGUGGGAGCACCCUUCGGGGUGUGACUGCGUACCUUUUGUAUAAUGGGUCAGCGACUUAUAUUCUGUAGCAAGGUUAACCGAAUAGGGGAGCCGGAGGGAAACCGAGUCUUAAUUGGGCGUUAAGUUGCAGGGUAUAGACCCGAAACCCGGUGAUCUAGCCAUGGGCAGGUUGAAGGUUGGGUAACACUAACUGGAGGACCGAACCGACUAAUGUUGAAAAAUUAGCGGAUGACCUGUGGCUGGGGGUGAAAGGCCAAUCAAACCGGGAGAUAGCUGGUUCUCCCCGAAAGCUAUUUAGGUAGCGCCUCGUGAAUUCAUCUCCGGGGGUAGAGCACUGUUUCGGCUAGGGGGCCAUCCCGGCUUACCAACCCGAUGCAAACUGCGAAUACCGGAGAAUGUUAUCACGGGAGACACACGGCGGGUGCUAACGUCCGUCGUGAAGAGGGAAACAACCCAGACCGCCAGCUAAGGUCCCAAAGUCAUGGUUAAGUGGGAAACGAUGUGGGAAGGCCCAGACAGCCAGGAUGUUGGCUUAGAAGCAGCCAUCAUUUAAAGAAAGCGUAAUAGCUCACUGGUCGAGUCGGCCUGCGCGGAAGAUGUAACGGGGCUAAACCAUGCACCGAAGCUGCGGCAGCGACACUGUGUGUUGUUGGGUAGGGGAGCGUUCUGUAAGCCUGCGAAGGUGGCCUGUGAGGGUUGCUGGAGGUAUCAGAAGUGCGAAUGCUGACAUAAGUAACGAUAAAGCGGGUGAAAAGCCCGCUCGCCGGAAGACCAAGGGUUCCUGUCCAACGUUAAUCGGGGCAGGGUGAGUCGACCCCUAAGGCGAGGCCGAAAGGCGUAGUCGAUGGGAAACGGGUUAAUAUUCCCGUACUUGGUGUUACUGCGAAGGGGGGACGGAGAAGGCUAUGUUGGCCGGGCGACGGUUGUCCCGGUUUAAGC